rnacentral:rRNA from 1 species
GAUGAACGCUAGCGGCAGGCUUAACACAUGCAAGUCGAGGGGCAACACGGGUAGCAAUACCUGGUGGCGACCGGCGCAAGGGUGCGUAACGCGUGAGCAACAUGCCCUAUACAGGGGGAUAAUCCAGGGAAACUUGGUCUAAUAUCCCAUAGUAUUUAGAGGAGGCAUCUUCUAUAAAUUAAAGCUUCGGUGGUAUAGGAUUGGCUCGCGUGACAUUAGCUAGAUGGUGAGGUAACGGCUCACCAUGGCAAUGAUGUCUAGGGGUUCUGAGAGGAAGGCCCCCCACACUGGGACUGAGACACGGCCCAGACUCCUACGGGAGGCAGCAGUGAGGAAUAUUGGACAAUGGAUGGAAAUCUGAUCCAGCCAUGCCGCGUGCAGGAAGACAGCCCUAUGGGUUGUAAACUGCUUUUAUAUGGGAGCAAUAAGGUCUACGUGUAGACUGAUGAGAGUACCAUAUGAAUAAGCAUC